rnacentral:rRNA from 1 species
UACGUAGGCAGCAAGCGUUGUUCGGAAUUACUGGGCGUAAAGAGUGUGUAGGCGGUGUUCUAAGUCUGUUGUGAAAUCUCCCGGCUUAACUGGGAGGGUGCGGCGGAAACUGGAAUGCUAGAGGAUGGGAGAGGUAAGCGGAAUUCCUGGUGUAGCGGUGAAAUGCGUAGAUAUCAGGAGGAACACCUGUGGUGUAGACAGCUUACUGGACCACUUCUGACGCUGAGACACGAAAGCGUGGGUAGCAAACAGG